UACGGGGGGAGCAAGCGUUGUUCGGAUUUACUGGGCGUAAAGGGCGCGUAGGCGGUCGUGACAAGUCACUUGUGAAAUCUCCGGGCUUAACUCGGAACGGUCAAGUGAUACUGUCGGACUAGAGUACAGAAGGGGCAACUGGAAUUCUCGGGUGUAGCGGUGAAAUGCGUAGAUAUCGGGAGGGACACCAGUGGCGAAGGCGACUACCUGGCCUGUUCUUGACGCUGAGGCGCGAA
rnacentral:rRNA from 1 species